UACGUAGGGGGCAAGCGUUGUCCGGAUUUAUUGGGCGUAAAGAGCGUGUAGGCGGCCAGAUAGGUCCGUUGUGAAAACUGGAGGCUUAACCUCCAGCUGUCGAUGGAAACCAUCUGGCUAGAGUCCGGAAGAGGAGAGUGGAAUUCCUGGUGUAGCGGUGAAAUGCGCAGAUAUCAGGAAGAACACCGGUGGCGAAGGCGGUUCUCUGGGCAUGACCUGACGCUGAGGAGCGAAAGUGUGGGGAGCGAACAGG
rnacentral:rRNA from 1 species